UACAGAGGGGGCAAGCGUUAUUCGGAAUUAUUGGGCGUAAAGGGCGCGUAGGCGGCUUGGCAAGUGGAUGGUGAAAUCCCUCGGCUUAACCGAGGAACUGCCGUCCAAACUGCUUUGCUUGAGACCGGGAGAGGUGAGUCGGAAUUCCCAGUGUAGCGGUGAAAUGCGUAGAUAUUGGGAGGAACACCAGUGGCGAAGGCGGCUCACUGGACCGGUACUGACGCUGAUGCGCGAAAGCGUGGGGAGCGAACAGG
rnacentral:rRNA from 1 species